rnacentral:rRNA from 1 species
AGUGGGUGUAAUGUACCUACCAGCCGACGACGGAUACGGGUUGUGGGAGCAAGAGCCCGGAGAUGGAUUCUGAGACAUGAAUCCAGGCCCUACGGGGCGCAGCAGGCGCGAAAACUUUACAAUGCGGGAAACCGCGAUAAGGGGACACCGAGUGCCAGCAUCUUAUGUUGGCUGUCCGCAUGUAUAAAUCACAUGUGUUAGCAAGGGCCGGGCAAGACCGGUGCCAGCCGCCGCGGUAACACCGGCGGCCCGAGUGGUGGCCACUAUUAUUGGGUCUAAAGGGUCCGUAGCCGGUUUGGUCAGUCUUCCGGGAAAUCUGACGGCUUAACCGUUAGGCUUUCGGGGGAUACUACCAGGCUUGGGACCGGGAGAGGUAAGAGGUACUACAGGGGUAGGAGUGAAAUCUUGUAAUCCUUGUGGGACCACCAGUGGCGAAGGCGUCUUACCAGAACGGGUUCGACGGUGAGGGACGAAAGCUGGGGGCACGAACCGGAUUAGAU